UAAUAAUGAAUGUCAGGUUUGAGUUGUGGUGAUUUUUCUUGGAUGUUUGUAAGUUACCAAAACAUUGGUAUUUUAACUAUAGCUGCAUACAGGAAGUAGAAUUAAUGCAAUUCGAAAACAGGUGUAAUGCUGGCUCCGGUCAGUAUUUCUGUUGGAAAUUUGAAAAGGCGUACAGACAUUGAACUUUUACAAAAAAUCUAAUCCUUUGACCCCCAAUUUUCUCCAUUGCUGUUUAGUACUUGGUAAGUUACCAAUGUAAAAACAUGGUUUCCAGGCACCUUGCUUCUGCAGGAAAGUGGCAGUUUGUUGUUGAAACUGGCUUAAAAAGGCUCGGAAACACACAGAAUUCUUAUGUUUUGAUUUGAAAUCAUCAAUACUAAAACAUUUUGCCCCAACUCAUUUGAUUUGAAUGUUACUGAUUUUUCAGAAGGCACAGCCUCAACCAUUCUGGAAAUGUGCUUGGUUUAUUUUCAGAUUUGCGAGGUGACCAGUUUCCAGACAUUGGUUCGCUCCUGCUUGUGUACGAGAUUGGCCGAGACUAAAAAAAACUGUAGUGUGCCACCUUAAGGUUUUAGUCAUUGGCUUGUAAGGCAAGAUAGUCCCUGGAGAAGAACUAAAGUACGUCAACAGCCUUGUCAGCGGAAAGACACUCCGUUGCAGUUACUGAAGAUUUGCGAGGUGACCAGUUUCCAGACAUUGGUUCGCUCCUGCUUGUGUACGAGAUUGGCCGAGACUAAAAAAACUGUAGUGUGCCACCUUAAGGUUUUAGUCAUUGGCUUGUAAGGCAAGAUAGUCCCUGGAGAAGAACUAAAGUACGUCAACAGCCUUGUCAGCGGAAAGACACUCCGUUGCAGUUACUGAAGAUUUGCGAGGUGACCAGUUUCCAGACAUUGGUUCGCUCCUGCUUGUGUACGAGAUUGGCCGAGACUAAAAAACUGUAGUGUGCCACCUUAAGGUUUUAGUCAUUGGCUUGUAAGGCAAGAUAGUCCCUGGAGAAGAACUAAAGUACGUCAACAGCCUUGUCAGCGGAAAGACACUCCGUUGCAGUUACUGAAGAUUUGCGAGGUGACCAGUUUCCAGACAUUGGUUCGCUCCUGCUUGUGUACGAGAUUGGCCGAGACUAAAAAAACUGUAGUGUGCCACCUUAAGGUUUUAGUCAUUGGCUUGUAAGGCAAGAUAGUCCCUGGAGAAGAACUAAAGUACGUCAACAGCCUUGUCAGCGGAAAGACACUCCGUUGCAGUUACUGAAGAUUUGCGAGGUGACCAGUUUCCAGACAUUGGUUCGCUCCUGCUUGUGUACGAGAUUGGCCGAGACUAAAAAAACUGUAGUGUGCCACCUUAAGGUUUUAGUCAUUGGCUUGUAAGGCAAGAUAGUCCCUGGAGAAGAACUAAAGUACGUCAACAGCCUUGUCAGCGGAAAGACACUCCGUUGCAGUUACUGAAGAUUUGCGAGGUGACCAGUUUCCAGACAUUGGUUCGCUCCUGCUUGUGUACGAGAUUGGCCGAGACUAAAAAAACUGUAGUGUGCCACCUUAAGGUUUUAGUCAUUGGCUUGUAAGGCAAGAUAGUCCCUGGAGAAGAACUAAAGUACGUCAACAGCCUUGUCAGCGGAAAGACACUCCGUUGCAGUUACUGAAGGUAAAACGACAUCUUCAGUGGGCUAGGUAAAUGUUGGCAUGUUUGUCGGAAUGUGUUUCCUGGUCUAUACCAAAAUGUCCUGCGUGCUUUGUUUAAUCUAUAACAGCGCCAUAACUUACUUUUCGCCAUUAUGCGCAAUUCAACUGAUGUUAUUUAU